UACAUUUCUAGUGUUACUCGUAUUAUUGC
rnacentral:sRNA from 1 species